AUCUAUGGUCACAGCAUCCUGAUUGUUCCCGAUCUCUUCUGAUCUCAGAAACUAAGCAAGGUUGGGCCUGGCUAAUACUUGGACGAAAGAUA
rnacentral:rRNA from 1 species